GGGGCUGUAGCUCAGUGGUAGAGCGCUUGCCUAUCACGCAUGAGGCACUGGGUUCGAUCCUUAGCACCA
rnacentral:tRNA from 1 species